UGGCUUACAUUUCUGUCAUGCACAUACAUACUCUUUUCUCUGCUGAGAAAGAUAUGGAUUUGAUUGAGGAGCCUCCUGCAGAAGGGAAGAAAAUAAAUCAAAGUUUUUUUCAAGAUGGAGCAUUUGUAGAAGGCACUCAUGCCGUUGGCAGCUACAGAUUUUACCCAUCUGAAG